UGAAAGCACACCGGUUUCUCGUCUGAUCACCGCAGUUAAGCAGCAUCAGGCGCGGUCAGUACUUGGGAGGGUGACCAUAGGGAACUUUCACCACGUGCUG